rnacentral:piRNA from 1 species
UCCUGGCGUUGGCAAUUUACUGUGCUGC